rnacentral:rRNA from 1 species
AGUGAACGCUGGCGGUAGGCCUAACACAUGCAAGUCGAACGGCAGCACAGUAAGAGCUUGCUCUUACGGGUGGCGAGUGGCGGACGGGUGAGGAAUACAUCGGAAUCUACUUUUUCGUGGGGGAUAACGUAGGGAAACUUACGCUAAUACCGCAUACGACCUACGGGUGAAAGCAGGGGAUCUUCGGACCUUGCGCGAUUGAAUGAGCCGAUGUCGGAUUAGCUAGUUGGCGGGGUAAAGGCCCACCAAGGCGACGAUACGUAGCUGGCCUGAGAGGAUGAUCGGCCACACUGGAACUGAGACACGGUCCAGACUCCUACGGGAGGCAGCAGUGGGGAAUAUUGGACAAUGGGCGCAAGCCUGAUCCAGCCAUACCGCGUGGGUGAAGAAGGCCUUCGGGUUGUAAAGCCCUUUUGUUGGGAAAGAAAAGCAGCAGGUUAAUACCCCGCUGUUCUGACGGUACCCAAUGAAUAAGCACCGGCUAACUUCGUG